rnacentral:lncRNA from 1 species
ACUUUUGGAUUGUGUGUAUAUAUAAGCAACAGAGCCAAGGAGGGAGAUAAAAAAUAAAAUUAACAAAAAUGUUUCUGUAAAAAGGGUAAGGCUAAAAUGGGAAUUUGAAGGCACAAAGCAUAUCUAAAGGCCAAAAUAGAAAAAAGAAAGAAAUUGGCAGAGGUGGAAUGUCAACAGCGCGAGAGUACUGGCCCUGCCCUGGCCUGCAACUGCCAAUCUGUUUUCUGUCUGUACUUUUAUCUUCUUUCUUUCUUUCUCUCUCUUUUUUCUUCCUGUUUAACCGGGUUUUCGCCACGUGGCAGUGGUAAAACUUAGGCAAUACUCGAAAAGACAAUUUGACCCUCCAACUCAUUGGCCAAUGAGGUAUGUAUUCUUGAUGUCAUUGAUGGGUUUAUUGACUUUUGACUUUGGGUGGCGCCGUGGUGGAAUGGAAUGUAAGGUGUUGCAUAUGGAGAUGGGAGUCACUUUCAUGAAGUUUACCUGCCGCCUCUGAUCCUUAAUAUCUAAGCACGUAAGGUUAGUGAGUAUCCAUCUAUUAAAUGUUUUCUUUUUGUCUCACCCAAGUUUUCUUUAUGCUAUUCAAGAAAUUGUGUUUAAACAAUUAUAUAUAACAAUCUAUCAAUUUAUUAAAUACAUAAUACAUCUAACUAAAUCUAAUCUUAUUAGCUUGCGCCUUAACUGGUAAACAGGAACUGUAAAAUUAGAAACUUUUUUGUUGCUGGUUAGUCUAAUCUGAUGCUUAUAUUAAUGGAUUUGUACUGUAUGCAGGGUUAUUGGAAUCUUAAAGUGUUGAAGAGAUAUUUCAACAGCUCGCACCAUAAGCAAUGAUUUUCGGUGGAUGAAUUGAGCGAGGCAUUUAACCUUACUUUUUAUAAGGUACUAGUAACCUUCAUUUGCGUUACCUGAUUAUUGGAGAUAUAUUUUGCAUCCUGAAUAUGGGAAUUUUAGCACAAUAACCUAGAAUUUAUAUGAGCAUUAAAGAAGAAGAGAAAGAGAAAUGGCCUAUUCUGUUGUUCUUCUGUGGGCUAGUAAUUGCAGCAAAUAGCUCACAACGUUUAUGUGAAGGUUGGCUAGCAGAGACCCUCCGCCCUAAGCAAAAAAAAUCCCUACCCGCGGCUCAAUCUUUCUUCCUGCAUUUAUUUAAAUGCAGCUAUGGCACGUGAAUCAGUUAUUGCAGAUUAUCCAUAUCAAGAAUGUAAUUGUCACUUUCCUGCUAAUGACGAUUUUCUCUUUUAAAAGUGUCAUAUUAUAUUGAGAAAAAUUUAAAGAAGCAAUUUCUGUUGUUUGAUUAUGUUUCCUCUUUUGUUUUUUCUUUUCUUUUAGGUUCGAUUUACAAUAUGAAAAUAAUAAACUGCUACAAUAUUAGUGAAUUAGAAAGGAAAAAAACCAACCUCAAAUUACUACAAGUUAUACUAAUGCCUCUUUAUUUCAUGUUUCACAUAAAGAAAAAAAGAAAAAAAGGAAAGAGAGCUGAUUUCCAAGCUGGCUUGACAAAAGGUUCACUGAUAACAAAUUAAAGAACCAACAAACAGUCAGAGUCAGAGAGGAUUAUGAAUGUAAUGAUAAUAGAGAAUAUUAAUAGCAAUUAUUGAGGGCAUACGAAAGGAAAAGAUGAUACUUAAUUUAAUAUAAUAUAUAACCAGUUGGUGGUUUUAGAAGCUUUUUAAGAUGCCAAAACCAAGAUGAUGAGUACUGUAAAGAUGCAUAGCUUUUGUAUAAAUUAAUCAGCCCAAGAGACCUUGCAAUCCUCAAAGCUGGACUGAUGUAGGUAUCCAAUGAUGCAUUGGUACUUAAAAAACAGAUAUGCUCAAUCCAUAAAUUAUUACUUAAAAGUAUUGUAUAUACUUUCUCUUCCCAAGUGGGUCUGAAAAAUAAUGCUUCACACGUACGUUCCAUUCUGCAAGGAGGACAGCAAAAGGCACUCGUGGGCAACACCUAUAUUAUGUUUACAUUAUGUAUUGAGCUCAUGCACCAUUUGAUAUAUACAUCAUGUUCAUGAAUCCCCUAAUAUCUGAUAGUUAAUUUAGGCCAUCCAUUUCUUGGUUAUUGCUAAUGGGCCUCCAAUAGGGUUACAUGGCAAAUCGUCUGAGCAGACUGCCAUUCCAUUAUCUGCAGGGACAGGCAAAAGAAGAUCUUUGGCUUCACUUGUGUCAAAGCUUUCUUCUCAAAGUUUGGUUCUGAAGCUUUUGCAGUUUUAGUGGCUUUCAAUCUGGAAAGAGGUAUGAUCAUUCAUGAUUUUGGAUAUUCUGGACCAUAUCUUUCAAGCAAGAGAAAGGCUUUCUCUAUUCCCUCAGGUUUCCAUAGAUUAUGUUUGUAAAGGCAACAAUAAACAGCAAGAUGGCUGGCAGCUAAUAUGUUAAAGGGAAAUCUUCCCUUUACUUGGUUGUCUUGUGUUCCAAAUUAUUUGGAUCAGCUUUUAUCAGUUGAUCCUUUUAAUAUUUACCAAAAGAAGAAAAGAAAAGAAAAGGAAUUG